UACGUAGGGGGCAAGCGUUGUCCGGAUUUACUGGGUGUAAAGAGCGCGUAGGCGGAAGCUUAAGUGUGGCCUGAAAGCCCCCGGCUCAACCGGGGAGGGUGGCUGCAAACUGGGCUUCUUGAGGACGACAGAGGAAGGUGGAAUUCCCGGUGUAGUGGUGAAAUGCGUAGAUAUCGGGAGGAACACCAGUGGCGAAGGCGACUUCCUGGCCUGUUCUUGACGCUGAGGCGCGAAAGCUAGGGUAGCAAACGGG
rnacentral:rRNA from 1 species